UAAUACGUAGGGGGCAAGCGUUGUCCGGAAUCACUGGGCGUAAAGCGUGCGUAGGCGGUUUUGUAAGUCUGAAGUGAAAGACCAGGGCUCAACCCUGGGGGUGCUUUGGAAACUGCAAGACUUGAGUGCUGGAGAGGCAAGGGGAAUUCCACGUGUAGCGGUGAAAUGCGUAGAUAUGUGGAGGAAUACCAGUGGCGAAGGCGCCUUGCUGGACAGUGACUGACGCUGAGGCACGAAAGCGUGGGGAGCAAACAGGAUUAGAUACCCUGGUAGUCCGCGCCGUAAACGAUGAGUGCUAGGUGUUGGGGGGAUACACCUCAGUGCCGAAGGAAACCCAAUAAGCACUCCGCCUGGGGAGUACGGUCGCAAGACUGAA
rnacentral:rRNA from 1 species